GCCUGAGUGGCGCAGUCGGUUAAGUGUCUGACUUCAGCUCAGGUCAUGAUCUCACGGCUUGUGGGUUCGAGCCCCAUGUCGGGCU
rnacentral:tRNA from 1 species